rnacentral:rRNA from 1 species
CACGUAGGCGGAUUGUUAAGUCGGGGGUGAAAUCCUGGAGCUCAACUCCAGAACUGCCUUCGAUACUGGCGAUCUCGAGUUCGGGAGAGGUGAGUGGAACUGCGAGUGUAGAGGUGAAAUUCGUAGAUAUUCGCAAGAACACCAGUGGCGAAGGCGGCUCACUGGCCCGAUACUGACGCUGAGGUGCGAAAGCGUGGGGAGCAAACA